rnacentral:rRNA from 1 species
UAAUACUGGAUAGGCAAUUAUUCCUGUAAUGGUUUUUUGUUUAAAUGUUUUUUCGCCUAAGGAUGGGUCUGCGGCCGAUUAGGUAGUUGGUUAGGUAAUGGCUUACCAAGCCUUUGAUCGGUACGGGUUGUGAGAGCAAGAGCCCGGAGAUGGAACCUGAGACAAGGUUCCAGGCCCUACGGGGUGCAGCAGGCGCGAAACCUCCGCAAUGUGAGAAAUCGCGACGGGGGGAUCCCAAGUGCCAUUCUUAACGGGAUGGCUUUUCUUUAGUGUAAAAAGCUUUUGGAAUAAGAGCUGGGCAAGACCGGUGCCAGCCGCCGCGGUAACACCGGCAGCUCUAGUGGUAGCAAUUUUUAUUGGGCCUAAAGCGUCCGUAGCCGGUUUAAUAAGUCUCUGGUGAAAUCCUGUAGCUUAACUGUGGGAAUUGCUGGAGAUACUAUUAGACUUGAGACCGGGAGAGGUUAGAGGUACUCCCAGGGUAGAGGUGAAAUUCUGUAAUCCUGGGAGGACCGCCUGUUGCGAAGGCGUCUAACUGGAACGGUUCUGACGGUGAGGGACGAAAGUUAGGGGCGCGAACCGGAUUAGAUACCCGGGUAGUCCUAACUGUAAACGAUGCGGACUUGGUGU